AGGUGCGAUCAUACCAGCACUAAUGCACUAGAUUCCAUCAGAACUCUGCAAUUAAUUCCGCUUGGGCGAGAGUAUUACUAGGAUGGGUGACCUGCUGGGAAGUCCUCGUGUUGCACCUC
rnacentral:rRNA from 2 species